rnacentral:tRNA from 1 species
UCCCUGAUGGCUCAGAUGGUAAAGAAUCUGCCUGCAAUGCAGAAGACCCAGGUUGGAUCCCUGGGUCGAGAA